UGGGGAAUAUUGCACAAUGGGCGCAAGCCUGAUGCAGCCAUGCCGCGUGUGUGAAGAAGGCCUUCGGGUUGUAAAGCACUUUCAGCGGGGAGGAAGGCGGUGAGGUUAAUAACCUCAUCGAUUGACGUUACCCGCAGAAGAAGCACCGGCUAACUCCGUGCCAGCAGCCGCGGUAAUACGGAGGGUGCAAGCGUAAAUCGGAAUUACUGGGCGUAAAGCGCACGCAGGCGGUCUGUCAAGUCGGAUGUGAAAUCCCCGGGCUCAACCUGGGAACUGCAUUCGAAACUGGCAGGCUAGAGUCUUGUAGAGGGGGGUAGAAUUCCAGGUGUAGCGAUGAAAUGCGUAGAGAUCUGGAGGAAUACCGGUGGCGAAGGCGGCCCCCUGGACAAAGACUGACGCUCAGGUGCGAAAGCGUGGGGAGCAAACAGG
rnacentral:rRNA from 1 species